GUUCCCCCUGAGGAGCUGGAAGAAGUGGCUGGGGAAAGGGAAGUCUGGGCCUCCCUUCUGAAGCUGCUGCCCCCGCCACUCAACCCUGGAUGAAGUGGACGGAUGGACGGAUGGAUGGAUGGACGGACGGAUUACAGACCCAUCAACCUGGAAGUUCAGAAGGCUUCAUUGAUAUCCAGCCUAUCUUUUGCAUGGCCAAGAAAAGAAAGGAGCAGCCAUCUUCUCAACAACAUGAAUUUUCUCUCUUAAGACAGACAAGAUGAUAUAGCCGUGGAACUGCUGCCAGUACUCCUCCCUGUUCCACCUUACACAUUUGGGAGAAGAGUUUCAGACCCAUCAACCUGGAAGUUCAGAUGGUUUMAUUGAUAUCCAGCCUUUGGAACAAACCCGGUGGCACAUCUAUGAAAUGCGACAACCCAUAUGUCUUCAUGCAUGGAGACAGGCAAAAAUGCUAAAGUGUCAUUAAAAAUGAUCCUUUUUUAAUGGCUGAAAGUUUUACUUGUAGUUUGCUUUAAAACAGACUUUUUACAUGAAAUGUUUUCUAGUGUGUAGUAACAGAUACUUCUGGAGUUGUAACCAAAUGAGUUGAAGUGAUUUAACUAUAUACUUUUGAAACAACUUAUGUUUUGUAACUUUUGUAAAUGAAAUCUGCUGGCUCUAUAUAUGUAUCACGUGGAAAUAAAAGAGGCUUUAAAUUCAGAUUGUUUUUAAUCCUGUUUUUAUAUAGUGAAAUUUAAAUGUUUUAUUUUUUUUAAACCCACUAUAGUGGUAUAAUAACCCUUAUGUUGUGUUAUGAGUUUCAACCCAAUUUUGGGUCAAUUUAACCAAUUUAACCAAGUCAAUUUAACCCAACCUUUAGAUGGUUGCCAUAACCCAACUAACAUGGGUUAUGGCACUGAGGUGCUGGGUCAAACCCUCAAUC